rnacentral:lncRNA from 1 species
AUGAAACUUAUGGAUGGAAGGCUAUCUAGGAGGUUCUUCUCCACACAUGUCACACUUGCAUACAAAACGAUUUCCAGUUGCUUUUCGAUAAACUAUGAAUACUCAAUGCCCCAAAUUAACCGUGAAUUGCACUAAUUAAACCUCAGUUUUUUUUCACAAGUUAUUGAGUUGGAUGAUUGCAUACGACAACCCAAAACAUUCCCUACAAGUUCCCUACAUGAAUUGCAUAAUAGAGAUACAAGCAAGGAUCAUUAAGUUCUAUGAAAAACAUAAGCAUUGACGAGGCACUCGUUACUAUGAUUUGCAUGAAACUUAUGCCA